UAGUCCACGCUGUAAACAAUGGACACUUGGUGUUGGAGGUAUUGACCCCUUCAGUGCCGGAGCUAACGCGUUAAGUGUCCCGCCUGGGGAGUACGGUCGCAAGAUUAAAACUCAAAGAAAUUGACGGGGGCCCGCACAAGCGGUGGAGCAUGUGGUUUAAUUCGAUGCAACGCGAAAGACCUUACCUGGGCUUGACAUCUAGUGGACGAGUAUCAGAAAUGAUCUUUCCCUUCGGGGCUACUAGACAGGUGCUGCAUGGCUGUCGUCAGCUCGUGUCGUGAGAUGUUGGGUUAAGUCCCGCAACGAGCGCAACCCUUGUCUUUAGUUGCCAGCAUUUAGUUGGGCACUCUAAAGAGACUGUCGACGUUAAGUCGGAGGAAGGUGGGGAUGACGUCAAGUCCUCAUGGCCCUUAUGUCCAGGGCUACACACGUGCUACAAUGGAUGAUACAGAGGGCUGCCAACCUGCAAAGGUGCGCUAAUCCCUUAAAGUCAUUCUAAGUUCGGAUUG
rnacentral:rRNA from 1 species